GUGCAGAGGUUUCUGCUGCUUUUUGUUGUUGUUGUUGUUGUUGUUGUUGUUGUUUAGCUGUGCCCUGUCCCCAGAGGUGGAGUCUACAGAGACUGGCAGGCCUCCUUGAACUGCUGUGAGCUCCACCCUCCCAGGGCUUUGUUUACCUACUUAAGCCUCAGCAAUGGCGGGCGCCCCUCCCCCAGCCUUGCUGCUGCUUUGCGAUUAGAUCGCAGACUGCUGUGCUAGCAAUGAGGAAGGCUCCGUGGGCGUGGGACCCUCCCAGCCAGGUGUGGGAUAUAAUCUCCUGGUGUGCCCCUUUGCUUAAAGCGCAGUAUUGGGGUGGGAGUUACCCGAUUUUCCAGGUGUUGUGUGUCUCAGUUCCCCUGGCUAGGAAAAGGGAUUCCCUUCCCCCUUCUGCUUCCCAGCUGAGGCGAUGACUCGCCCUGCUUCAGCUCUGGCUGGUCGGGCUGCAACAGCUGACCAGCCCCGAUUGUCCGGCACUCCCCAGUGAGAUGAACCCAAUACCUCAGUUGAUAAUGCAGAAAUCACCUGUCUUCUGUGUCGCUCGCGCUGGGAGCUGGAGACUGGAGCUGUUCCUAUUCGGCCAUCUUGCUCCGCCCCUGGGCUUUGCCUUUCUCUGAUGACUCCCUGAUUAGCUUGAUAACUAACCUCCUGAAUUCUUUUUCAGGUAAAUCAGGUACAUUUUUGGUUUGGAUCCAUUGCUGAUGAGCUAGUGUGAUUUUGGGGGGAUAUUAAAGAGUCAUAUUAGCAGAGAUGUUUUGCCAUAUUACCAGAGUUGUUUUUCUGGUUCCUCCUUAUUUGGGUAGGCUUUGUCAGAGGGAAAGUCUAGAACUGAAGGCUGUUCAGAUUCUUUUGUCCCAUGAGGUAUUCCCUUAAUGUAGUACUCUUCCCCUUUUCCUGUGGAUGUGGCUUCCUGUGAGCUGAGCUGCAGUGAUUGUUAUCUCUCUUCCAGGUCUAGCCAUGCAGCAAGUCUACCCAGCUCCAGGCUGGUACUUGGGGUUGUCUUCACAGAGUCCUGCAAUGUGAACUGUCAAUAGAUCUCUCAGACAUGGAUGCCAGCACAUUAUUUGGAUGUCUCCUGGGUCCUGCAGGAGCAGUCUAUUUUCUUCAGAGGUUCUAUGGGUCCUCUCUGGAUUUCUGGUUUGUUCUUACAGUCAUUCUGGAGCUAAAAUUCACUGUGAGAGCCUCUGCAUGCUGCUCUGAGUCGGAACUGCAAUCUAGUCCUACCGUCUCAUCUGCCAUCUAUUUUCACUGCAAUUAUUUGAGAUGAAAUUUUAUCAUGAGAGAAUCUUUGGACUUUGAGCCUUGGCAGAGUUGGACUGCUACAGAAACCACCACAGUCUGGCAUGAAUUAAGUCCCACUGCAGAGGUGAACUGGAGCCAAGAUUUCAACCUCCAAAUGAUUACUGCUGGGGGAAAAAGGCUCUGGGCCAUGCUGACAAUGAAUAUCAGCUGCUCUGGGUAACUGGGACUGUUUCUACUCCUCUCCCCACAGCCAAAAAAGCCAAAUUGUGGUUCUUAUAGUACUGACUGGAUUAUUUGUGUUACAUUGCUUCCCCACUGUCUUCACAUCAUAGAACAUGUAGAAAAAAAUUACUGCAUUUGUAGGGCACCCACAGUAAACCCAGGAGGCAACUUAUAGGCAGAAUUCACCUAGCUCUAGUUGAAUCAUGUCCCAGUUCCUCUCAAGGGCUGAAGGUAUGUCUUAGUACAUAGAAUUCAUUCCAGGUAAUGGAAUUUGUAAUUUGUAAAUAUUUGCUACUUAUCACACGGUCUGUAGACCAACUUUAUUGUAGCAGCACAUCAUCUGGGGCAUUUUAGAAAAGCUGACACUCAGGCCCCACGUGAGACCUAUCUGUGCUGCCCAGGCUGGAGUGCAGUGGCUGUUUAUAGGCAUGAUCAUAGUGUAAUAAAGCCUUGAACUCCUGGGCUCAAGCGCUUCUCCUGCCUCAGCCUCCUGAGUAGCUGGGACUACAGGUGCAAGCCACUGUGCCAAGCUAGCAUCUAUAUUUUAACAAGUCCCCAAAUGAGUCGUAUGUACAUUAAAAUUUAAGAAGUGUUGGUCUACAGGGUAAUGUCUGCCUCCGUGGCAUGCUUUAAAAGACCCUUGGAGAUCUAUGCCCUGCCUACUCUUCCAGCCUCAUCUUUGGUAACUGCCUCUCUCCAACCCAAUGAUAGUAAAGUAUCUAACACCUGAAGGCACUGUACUCUCUACCCUACUGCCUUUGCACAGGUGGUUCUUAGCCUAGAAUUAAUUCUCUUUACCUGCCCUUUUGAACUCUUACUUAUCAUUCAACUCUCAAUUUAAAAGUCAAGCUUCACCUGCCCCAGGAGAUCUAGGCAGAAGGAGCGGGCAGCCCAUUAUAAAGCCUGCCUUCCUCUUGCUUCCUAGUUCUGACUGUGUGCCUUUAUUACAAUACUUACCACAUUGUACCGUAAUUCUGUUUGUUCUCUAUUUUCCCAAGCAGUCUGUGAGCUCUUGGUGUCAGUAUCUUUGAUUUACUCAUUUUUUAAUUUCUAGGAGGUAAACACAGUACAUGGUAGAUACGCAAUUCAUGCUUCUUGGAGAAAUCAGAUAAUCUUGUUGGCCAUUUCUGCUGGAAAAUUACUUCCUCUUAAAAACAAUAAUGUAUAAAAUAUUUAUAAGUCAUUUCAAAAUAAUUCUGUUUGUACUCCUCUGAUUUGUGGCCAGUUUCACAAAAUGCAGAAGAGCAUAUAAAUCCAUUUCUUAUCACUCAGUCCAGAUAUAAAAUCAAGGUCCAUCUUUUCAAGAUUUAAUGUAAUUUAAUGGUCAUUUAUAUAAUAAAGUGAUAGCAAUGAG
rnacentral:lncRNA from 1 species